UUCAUUAUUAGCGUCAUCAGAACUAUUAACAAGGUUUUCUCUUGAUGAAAUUUUAAAAAAAAAGCACACAUGGGUCAAUGAUCAUUAGUUACUACGAAUCUAAUAAAAACUUAAACGAAACAUGCAGAAAUCUCUUAGUUGAUUUGAUAAUAGCCAGUUUGUUUGAAAAAAAACAUCCCAUGUGUACUGCCUUGGCUAAACAGAUUUCAGAUAUGAUAGUUGGGACCUUUACUAGGAAAUAUAUUUUGAAUGAAGCGGACUAAGAAAGUGUCCAAAAGGAAAACUUUAUGCAAAGUACUAUAACAAACUCAGAAGAUUAAGAAGCCAUGGAUUGGUGUCUUCACAAGUGUCAAAAUUGCAGAAAAACAAUAAACCACCCUAUAGGAUUUCUGAAAAUAUAAAUUUUGAAAUAAUUAUUGAAGAAGAUGCGGAAAUUCUUAUUGCCAAAUUGAAACAUGAAGAGUUAGCUUGGCACGAUAUUGAAAUGAUUUGGGCAAAAACCACUGGUUAUCGUUUGAACCAUCUUAAAACAACUAAUUUUUCACCAUCAGAAAUC